GGGCAUUUCAACCGCAGAUGUGAUUUAUCAAAGCUUAGGUCUCCAACUGGUGGGCUGGUUGGGCAGGCUUGCUUUCCCUCCUCCACGAUGUUUAAAAGAUCGUCCUCCCAGUCCUUUCUUUUGUGGUAUAUUUCCUUCAUAUGAUCUCAUCUUCGUUCCUAAAGACAGAAAUAUGCAUAAUCCUGAAGGCUUAACUCGCU